rnacentral:rRNA from 1 species
GCAAGGUGCUGCAUGGUUGUCGUCAGCUCGUGCCGUGAGGUGUCGGGUUAAGUCCCAUAACGAGCGCAACCCUUAUUGUUAGUUGCCAGCUGGUAAAGCAGGGGACUCUAGCGAAACUGCCACCGUAAGGUGAGAGGAAGGUGGGGAUGACGUCAAAUCAGCACGGCCCUUAUGUCCAGGGCUGCACACGUGUUACAAUGGCCGGCACAGAGGGCAGCUACCUGGUGACAGGAUGCUAAUCUCGAAAACCGGUCUCAGUUCGGAUCGAAGUCUGCAACUCGACUUCGUGAAGCUGGAUUCGCUAGUAAUCGCGCAUCAGCCAUGGCGCGGUGAAUACGUUCCCGGGCCUU